GCGUACGCCCUACGGAUAAUACCAAUGGUUCUCGUCAAACAAAGGUCAUCAGCUUGCCAUUGCCAUUGCCAUUGCCAUUGCCAUUGCCAUUCCCCAUCCAGCUAACUAUGAUUCCCGAUUGUUAGCUCUUUAGGGUCAUUCCCGCUUCAUGGAGAAAAGCGUAGUCAUGUCCGAAUCCGAUUCUAACUCAAGAGCUUUGCUCUACGACGCUUCUAAUUCAGUUUGUGAUCCAAAGAAUUUGCAUGUGAUUGAUGGUAAUAUUGGCAGUCCAGAAGUUAUAGCUCAAGGGAUUUCUAAGAUGGUGAGUUGUGUGAUUAGGGAUUUUGAUUCCAAAGCCGAUGACGCCUCUCGAAGUCAAGUUAAGCUCUGUACUGCUCUCCAUCGUCUCACUACCGAGCUUGAUCAACUAUUGGAAGAUGCACCAUUGCCGUUCAUUAUGCAGCAUGCUACUAAACUUUCUAAUGUCAGAAAAAGAGUGUCAUCACUGAACUCAAUAUUGAGAUCUAUACAACAACGUCUUGAUAAUAUCGACCGUAUGAUGUCUAUUGGCUCACUUGAUGCUAAAGCAAAUACAGGAGAAUCCAUGUGAUUUGAAUGUCAACGUAUUAAAGGUAGGAGAAAGGUAAGCGUUUCAGUUUCGUUUACAAUCCUUGAUAAUGUCUUGAAUAAUAUUUGAUUUGUUUAUCAUUAUGAACAAUAUAUUUUGAGUUUUUUGAAUUGUUCUUAUACAUUUUGUUGUGAAAGUGAUUUUCAUUGGUUACACUGACAAGCAUUGAGAAAUAGAUAAGUCAAUGGGAUACUAGGGCAUCAGAUACUCACUCACUCGAUGAAAAACAUAGAGAAGUUACUUGAAAAAACUAAGCUUCACUUACUUUUAAGUGAAAUAUGUAGACUGAUUUGAUUUUGCUAAUGCUAGGGAAAUAUAAGUUCAGUUCGCUUCGCUCAUAAACAAUCAGAGGAGCCUUAACGUUGCAAUAUGCGGGGGAAAUCUAAGUACAGCAGUUCUCAAAAGCUGAAUGAAUUACCUGAUACAUGACAGAGCCGUAAUCUGCUGAAGAACAAUUCUACUUGCUAAAUAAGGGUCAGAAUUUGUGAAAUCAGCAAGCCUCUAAGUCAAAAUACAAGUUUUUUAAUAAAUGUGCAAUCUGGAUAACUUGAAGGAUCAAGGACUAUGUUUUUAACCAAUGAUACACGACAAUGUCAUUAAGAUGGUGAAUCAGAUUCUACUGCACGAGACUGUUUUCUUCAUGUAGAGUCUGUUCUGCUCCGUGUAGGAAUCUUAGAAACUUGGUUCAUAAUCUCUUUGAAUACCAACAUUACAAAAAGGAACCUUGUAUACUGUAUAGUGGAGGCUGGGGUUAGAUUUUUGCUACUUGUGCAAAUUUAAUUUUCCUUUGUUUUGGUUAGGUGACUUUCUGGUUUUGAUCUGCCUACUUUUGCUUUUAUUGAUUAAUCACGCUAGUUACUUCACAAGGCCACAUCAAUAGAUUAUAUACUACUAAUAUAAUAUUGUUGGGUUUGAAAUAUCAUA